rnacentral:lncRNA from 1 species
GAUCGGCUUAACAUUUCUGAUGUAGGCAUCCUGCCGGCUCGUAAUUCUGCUCCGUGCACUCCGUCCAUCUUUCUUCCACCGACUAGGCGGAAGAACAGUCAGCCUACUCCUCCCUCCCAACAUCAGUUCAGUUAUGAAAUUCCGGCGAUGGCACGUUAUCCCGAUCUAUCGCAGUCCAAGUCUUCCCUUACUCCCCAUGGACUAUCAGGGCGGGACUUUCCGGCCGUCGACUGCGCUCGCCAAAACGAGAACGAAGACGAAGGAUAUAUCGAAGUGCUGCCCACCGAUCCUCAGUGCGGAGACGAGCGAGAGUGAAUCUCCAUCAUCGAGACCCGAUGGUAAAAAUGCAGUAUUUCCGUGUUCUCCGGCUGCCAUCUUUAAAUUAUAGUACAGUAUACGUGGU